rnacentral:rRNA from 1 species
AGACGGGGGGAGCGAGCGUUGCUCGGAAUUACUGGGCGUAAAGGGUGUGUAGGCGUCCUGCUAAGUCAGGUGUAAAAAUGCGGAGCUCAACUCCGUAGUUGCACUUGAAACUGGCAGGAUAGAGUGCGAGAGAGGGGAGCGGAAUUCCCGGUGUAGGGGUGGAAUCCAUAGAUAUCGGGAGGAACACCGGUGGCGAAGGCGGCUCUCUGGCUCGCAACUGACGCUGAGACACGAAAGCGUGGGGAGCAAACAGGAUUAGAUACCCUAGUAGUCC